GCUGUUGUGGUGUAACGGUAGCACACUCGGCUCGUAUUCGAGAGGUCCAGGUUCAAAUCCCGGCGAUGGCA
rnacentral:tRNA from 1 species